GAUGAACGCUGGCGGCGUGCCUAAUACAUGCAAGUCGAGCGAACAGAUGAGGAGCUUGCUCCUCUGACGUUAGCGGCGGACGGGUGAGUAACACGUGGAUAACCUACCUAUAAGACUGGGAUAACUUCGGGAAACCGGAGCUAAUACCGGAUAAUAUAUUGAACCGCAUGGUUCACUAGUGAAAGACGGUUUUGCUGUCACUUAUAGAUGGAUCCGCGCCGCAUUAGCUAGUUGGUAAGGUAACGGCUUACCAAGGCGACGAUGCGUAGCCGACCUGAGAGGGUGAUCGGCCACACUGGAACUGAGACACGGUCCAGACUCCUACGGGAGGCAGCAGUAGGGAAUCUUCCGCAAUGGGCGAAAGCCUGACGGAGCAACGCCGCGUGAGUGAUGAAGGUCUUCGGAUCGUAAAACUCUGUUAUUAGGGAAGAACAAAUGUGUAAGUAACUAUGCACGUCUUGACGGUACCUAAUCAGAAAGCCACGGCUAACUACGUG
rnacentral:rRNA from 1 species